UAGCUAGACAAUUACCAUUGCUGAAAUUAUCUGUAUACUGUUCGAAGCAUUUUAUUACUAUUUUAAGAUCUGGUGGAUACUUGAUCCCGAAAUUUAAUCAGUGAUCUCCUCACUCAAUCCACCGUCUGACUGGUUCGAGACUGCUGUUGGUUUUAAGCACUUAAUCUGACACAUUUUUGACAAAUUUUGGCAUUUUAGGGGGAUCUAUAAGGGGGUUUCUGGGAGGCAGCGAUUAAUUCUGACAGUUUCAGAUGGUUAUCUAUUAAGCACAUUUGUCAGGAAACGGCAAAUAUCAUGAGAAUAUGUUUCAGCUGCAUACUGAAGGGACUUAUGAAAUUAUAUAUAGUGCCUAUGUAAUUUAGAAAAUGUAAAACCUAUACUCAGCAAAGUUAAGUUUGAACAAAAAUUAACUGAAUUAUCAGGUAGGGGCUGGUAACUUAUGUAUAAAAAAAGAUAUCAGUAACACUGUCAGAAGAAAUAUUGUCCUUUAUAGAGAAAAUUGACAAAGUGGCCUAAUCUUAACAUCAGUAGGAUGAGGAGUAUCAGGACGGUAUGUUUGAUCUCCAUGCUGCUAUUACCAGUCUUGUCCUCCUACGGAGACCAGACUCAUGAAUACCGCGACUGCACAACUCUGAGGAUGAGGACAUGCGAGUACGCCAACCUUGAUACAACUCUAAAGAUUUUUGGAUGGGACUGUUUGAGUGAUAGUCAAUACAUGUGUGCAUUGGAGAUGACGGAGAAGAGGAUUGCCCUGGGAAAACCCAUCCUCCAAUACAAUGGCCGGUGGGCGUUCAGAAGGUAUAUUGGCCUACAAGAGCCAGCCUCAGUUUUCUUCUCCUUCUGUAAUGGCUUUGCUGUUUUCCUGGGUAUCUCCAACCUAGUCGCCAAGGUUCC